rnacentral:rRNA from 1 species
GACGAACGCUGGCGGCGUGCUUAACACAUGCAAGUCGAACGGAAAGGCCCUUCGGGGUACUCGAGUGGCGAACGGGUGAGUAACACGUGGGUGAUCUGCCCUGCACUUUGGGAUAAGCCUGGGAAACUGGGUCUAAUACCGAAUAUGAUCAUCGGCUUCAUGGUCGGUGGUGGAAAGCUUUUGCGGUGUGGGAUGGGCCCGCGGCCUAUCAGCUUGUUGGUGGGGUAAUGGCCUACCAAGGCGACGACGGGUAGCCGGCCUGAGAGGGUGACUGGCCACACUGGGACUGAGAUACGGCCCAGACUCCUACGGGAGGCAGCAGUGGGGAAUAUUGCACAAUGGGCGCAAGCCUGAUGCAGCGACGCCGCGUGAGGGAUGACGGCCUUCGGGUUGUAAACCUCUUUCAGCACAGACGAAGCGCAAGUGACGGUAUGUGCAGAAGAAGGACCGGCCAACUACGU